GAUGAAGAACGUAGUGAAAUGCGAUACGUAGUGUGAAUUGCAGAAUUCAGUGAAUCAUCGAAUCUUUGAACGCACAUUGCACCUCUCGGUAUUCCGGGAGGUAUGCCUGUUCGAGCGUCAUUUGUACCCUCAAGCUCUGCUUUGUGUUGGGUGUUUGUUCCGCCUCUGUGUGUGAACUCGCCUCAAAACAAUUGGCAGCCGGCGUACUUGUUUCGGAGCGCAGCACAUUUUGCGAUCCAGAUCAACGUACAGCGGCAUCCAAGAAGCCUUAUUUAACGCUCUUGACCUCGGAUCAGGUAGGGAUACCCGCUGAACUUAAGCAUAUCAAUAAGCGGAGGA
rnacentral:misc_RNA from 1 species